UCAUGGCUCAGAUUGAACGCUGGCGGCAGGCCUAACACAUGCAAGUCGAACGGUAACAGGAAGAAGCUUGCUUCUUUGCUGACGAGUGGCGGACGGGUGAGUAAUGUCGUGGGAAACUGCCUGAUGGAGGGGGAUAACUACUGGAAACGGUAGCUAAUACCGCAUAACGUCGCAAGACCAAGAGGGGACCUUCGGGCCUCUUGCCAUCGGAUGUGCCCAGAUGGGAUUAGCUAGUAGGUGGGGUAACGGCUCACCUAGGCGACGAUCCCUAGCUGGUCUGAGAGGAUGACCAGCCACACUGGAACUGAGACACGGUCCAGACUCCUACGGGAGGCAGCAGUGGGGAAUAUUGCACAAUGGGCGCAAGCCUGAUGCAGCCAUGCCGCGUGUAUGAAGAAGGCCUUCGGGUUGUAAAGUACUUUCAGCGGGGAGGAAGGGAGUAAAGUUAAUACCUUUGCUCAUUGACGUUACCCGCAGAAGAAGCACCGGCUAACUCCGUG
rnacentral:rRNA from 1 species